rnacentral:rRNA from 1 species
UACGGAGGAUCCGAGCGUUAUACGGAUUUAUUGGGUUUAAAGGGUGCGCAGGCGGAAGAUUAAGUCGGUGGUGAAAUUCUGCAGCUCAACUGUAAAAGUGCCAUUGAUACUGGUUUUCUUGAGUGUGGAUGAAGUAGGCGGAAUUUGUGGUGUAGCGGUGAAAUGCAUAGAUAUCACGAGGAACUCCGAUUGCGCAGGCAGCUUACUAAACCAUAACUGACGCUCAGGCACGAAGGCGUGGGGAUCAAACAGGAUUAGAUA